AGCGGCGAGCGAAACGGGAAGAGCCCAAACCAACAAGCUUGCUUGUUGGGGUUGUAGGACACUCUAUACGGAGUUACAAAGGACGACAUUAGACGAAUCAUCUGGAAAGAUGAAUCAAAGAAGGUAAUAAUCCUGUAGUCGAAAAUGUUGUCUCUCUUGAGUGGAUCCUGAGUACGACGGAGCACGUGAAAUUCCGUCGGAAUCUGGGAGGACCAUCUCCUAAGGCUAAAUACUCUCUAGUGACCGAUAGUGAACCAGUACCGUGAGGGAAAGGUGAAAAGCACCCCGGAAGGGGAGUGAAAUAGAACCUGAAACCGUGUGCUUACAAGUAGUCAGAGCCCGUUAAUGGGUGAUGGCGUGCCUUUUGUAGAAUGAACCGGCGAGUUACGAUUUGAUGCAAGGUUAAGCAGUAAAUGUGGAGCCGUAGCGAAAGCGAGUCUGAAUAGGGCGUUUAGUAUUUGGUCGUAGACCCGAAA
rnacentral:rRNA from 1 species